rnacentral:rRNA from 1 species
UACGUAGGGGGCAAGCGUUGUCCGGAUUUAUUGGGCGUAAAGAGCGUGUAGGCGGCUUUGCAAGUCCGUUGUGAAAACCCGAGGCUCAACCUCGGGACGUCGGCGGAAACCAUCUGGCUAGAGUUCGGGAGAGGAGAGUGGAAUUCCCGGUGUAGCGGUGAAAUGCGCAGAUAUCGGGAAGAACACCCGUGGCGAAGGCGGCUCUCUGGAACGAUACUGACGCUGAGACGCGAAAGCGUGGGGAGCGAACAGG